AGAACUUUAGGUUAAGGAUAAAUCAAAAGUCUUCAAAACUUUAGAUGGGAGGUUUUAAUAUCCCAAGUUCUG
rnacentral:tRNA from 1 species